rnacentral:rRNA from 1 species
UACGGAGGGGGCUAGCGUUGUUCGGAAUUACUGGGCGUAAAGCGCACGUAGGCGGAUUGGAAAGUUGGGGGUGAAAUCCCAGGGCUCAACCCUGGAACUGCCUUCAAAACUCCCAGUCUGGAGGUCGAGAGAGGUGGGUGGAAUUCCGAGUGUAGAGGUGAAAUUCGUAGAUAUUCGGAGGAACACCAGUGGCGAAGGCGGCUCACUGGCUCGAUACUGACGCUGAGGUGCGAAAGCGUGGGGAGCAAACAGG